rnacentral:rRNA from 1 species
UACAGAGGGUGCAAGCGUUAAUCGGAAUCACUGGGCUUAAAGCGUUCGUAGGCGGACUUGCAGGCGCGUUGUGAAAGCCCCCGGCUCAACCGGGGAACUGCUUCGCGAACCGCAAGUCUUGAGUCAAGUAGGGGCGGUCGGAACGAUAGGUGGAGCGGUGAAAUGCGUAGAUAUCUAUCGGAACGCCAAAGGUGAAGACAGGCCGCUGGGCUUGUACUGACGCUGAGGAACGAAAGCGUGGGGAGCAAACAGG